UACGAAGGGUGCAAGCGUUACUCGGAAUUACUGGGCGUAAAGGGCGCGUAGGCGGUUCGCUAAGUUGGAUGUGAAAACUCUGGGCUCAACCCAGAGCCUGCAUCCAAAACUGGCGGGCUAGAGUUCUGGAGGGGGUAGCGGAAUUCCUGGUGUAGCGGUGAAAUGCGUAGAUAUCAGGAGGAACACCGGUGGCGAAGGCGGCUACCUGGACAGAAACUGACGCUGAGGCGCGAAAGCUAGGGGAGCAAACAGG
rnacentral:rRNA from 1 species